rnacentral:rRNA from 1 species
UUUGGUGGCGAUGGCGGAGGGGUUCCACACGUACACGACCGUUAAGCCCUCUAGCGCCGAUGGUACUUGGACCGCAGGGCCCUGGGAGAAUAGGACGCCGCCAAGC